rnacentral:rRNA from 1 species
AGAGUUUGAUCCUGGCUCAGGACGAACGCUGGCGGCGUGCCUAAUACAUGCAAGUCGAGCGGACAGAUGGGAGCUUGCUCCCUGAUGUUAGCGGCGGACGGGUGAGUAACACGUGGGUAACCUGCCUGUAAGACUGGGAUAACUCCGGGAAACCGGGGCUAAUACCGGAUGGUUGUUUGAACCGCAUGGUUCAGACAUAAAAGGUGGCUUCGGCUACCACUUACAGAUGGACCCGCGGCGCAUUAGCUAGUUGGUGAGGUAACGGCUCACCAAGGCGACGAUGCGUAGCCGACCUGAGAGGGUGAUCGGCCACACUGGGACUGAGACACGGCCCAGACUCCUACGGGAGGCAGCAGUAGGGAAUCUUCCGCAAUGGACGAAAGUCUGACGGAGCAACGCCGCGUGAGUGAUGAAGGUUUUCGGAUCGUAAAGCUCUGUUGUUAGGGAAGAACAAGUGCCGUUCAAAUA